rnacentral:rRNA from 1 species
CCUACGGGAGGCAGCAGUGGGGAAUAUUGGGCAAUGGAGGAAACUCUGACCCAGCGACGCCGCGUGCGGGAUGAAGGCCUUCGGGUUGUAAACCGCUUUCAGUAGGGAAGAAGCGAAAGUGACGGUACCUACAGAAGAAGCACCGGCUAACUAUGUGCCAGCAGCCGCGGUAAUACAUAGGGUGCAAGCGUUGUCCGGAAUUAUUGGGCGUAAAGAGCUCGUAGGUGGUUUGAUACGUCGGGUGUGAAAUUCAGGGGCUCAACCCCUGACCUGCAUUCGAUACGGUCAAGCUAGAGUUUGGUAGGGGAGACUGGAAUUCCUGGUGUAGCGGUGGAAUGCGCAGAUAUCAGGAGGAACACCGAUGGCGAAGGCAGGUCUCUGGGCCAAUACUGACACUGAGGAGCGAAAGCGUGGGGAGCGAACAGGAUUAGAUACCCUGGUAGUCCACGCCGUAAACGGUGGGCGCUAGUUGUGCGAACCUUCCACGGUUUGUGCGACGCAGCUAACGCAUUAAGCGCCCCGCCUGGGGAGUACGAUCGCAAGAUUAAAACUCAAAGGAAUUGACGG